UACACAUCCUGCUUUUGCUGAUUGAAUAGCUUUAGCAAGUUCUGAAUCAUGGAUUUAAACAUCAUAAGAACUGUUUUAAGAUAAGGCUUCUAUGUCCAUAGUUUGUCUAGGUGUAUGUGCCGAGGGCUAGGGACUCAUGUUAAUUGUCUUUCUUGAAUUAUCAGUUGUUAUAUUCUUUUUAUCUUCUUGAUUAUCUGUAGGUUUAAAUAAUUUUGCAUUUCAG
rnacentral:misc_RNA from 1 species